rfam:Felis catus isolate Cinnamon breed Abyssinian chromosome B2, whole genome shotgun sequence.
CCUUCGAUAGCUCAGCUGGUAGAGCGGAGGACUGUAGGCUGGAUACGUGUGGGCAUCCUUAGGUCGCUGGUUCGAUUCCGGCUCGAAGGA